rnacentral:lncRNA from 1 species
GGCAGAAAGUUGAAGCACACAGGGAGAGCUAAGAGACUCUGCAGUGAAGACCCAGCAGACUACAGUGGUUGGACGCUAAGCAUAAUUUUCACAUCCCAGGCUCUCCUCAGAUAGGACAGACUCAGGAACGCAGCUUGCUUUCAAUGAUUUUUUACAGAUCUGAGGAACGGUGAUCUAUGGUGAUGUAAACAAAUGACUGACUAAAUAAAUAAUAAUUGUUCUAUAUGAUUCGGAUACAUACAAAACAGUGGAGGAAGAAUCAAUCAAUUGAGCUUUGACAAUUGGCAGCCCAUGUAGAAAAAACAAGACAUUGGUAAGUUAUUCUAUAUCAGAACCAAAAAUAAAUUACAGAUUGGUUAAAAAUUUAAAUGUGAAAAUAACUAUAAACUUUUGAACUUCAAAAAAAAAAAUAGCCAACAGGACCUUUAUCAGCCCAAUUAAGGUAAGCAGGCAAGAACCUGAAUGGACAUUAUCAAAAACUUAUACCGU